rnacentral:rRNA from 1 species
GAUGAACGCUGACAGAAUGCUUCACACAUGCAAGUCAACUUGAACUUCGGUUUGGGUGGCGGACGGGUGAGUAACGCGUAAAGAACUUGCCUCACAGAUAGGGACAACAUUUGGAAACGAAUGCUAAUACCUGAUAUUAUGAUUAUAUGGCAUCGUAUAAUUAUGAAAGCUAUAUGCGCUGUGAGAGAGCUUUGCGUCCCAUUAGCUAGUUGGAGAGGUAACGGCUCACCAAGGCGAUGAUGGGUAGCCGGCCUGAGAGGGUGAUCGGCCACAAGGGGACUGAGACACGGCCCUUACUCCUACGGGAGGCAGCAGUGGGGAAUAUUGGACAAUGGACCAAGAGUCUGAUCCAGCAAUUCUGUGUGCACGAUGAAGUUUUUCGGAAUGUAAAGUGCUUUCAGUUGGGAAGAAAAAAAUGACGGUACCAACAGAAGAAGUGACGGCUAAAUACGUG